AAGCGUUAAAGCUCCGGUAAAUACAGACCAAUAAUAAAGACAAUACACUCCCCACCCCCUAAAAAUAUUAAGCUAUCCUAUGCACACAUAGGAGAAACAAUGCUAAAAUCAGUAAUAAGAGGACCCAAGCCCUCUCCUAGCACAUGUGUAAGUCAGAACGGACCGACCACUGACAAUCAACGGACCCAAACAGAGAGAAAAAGAACAAACUACAAAAAACAAGAAAAAUCUAUUUAAUACCACAAACCGUUAACCCAACACAGGAGUGCCUAAAGGAAAGACUAAAAGGAGAAGAAGGAACUCGGCAAACACAAACCCCGCCUGU
rnacentral:rRNA from 1 species